ACGGGGGGUGCGAGCGUUAUUCGGAUUUAUUGGGCGUAAAGGGCGCGUAGGCGGCCGCGCAAGUCCGGUGUGAAAACGCUACCGCUUAACGGAGCGAUUGCAUUGGAUACUGCGUGGCUUGAGUGCAGGAGAGGUGAGUGGAAUGGGUGGUGUAGCGGUGGAAUGCGUAGAUAUCACCCAGAACACCAGUGGCGAAGGCGGCUCACUGGCCUGCAACUGACGCUGAGGCGCGAAAGCGUGGGGAGCAAACGG
rnacentral:rRNA from 1 species